GCGCGUCCCAGAGGGUGAGAGCCCCGUGCGUGGCGCGUCCGGCCGUCCACGAUGUGCUUUCGACGAGUCGGGUUGUUUGGGAAUGCAGCCCAAAAUGGGUGGUAAACUCCAUCUAAAGCUAAAUACUGGCACGAGACCGAUAGCGAACAAGUACCGUGAGGGAAAGAUGAAAAGCACUUUGAAAAGAGAGUUAAACAGUACGUGAAACCGUUAAAAGGGAAACGGAUGGGGUCAGCAAUGCGUUGCUCGAGAUUCAGCCGGCCGGCACGUCGGCCGGGCGGGCAGGCGGAUCCCUGUGGACCGCCGCCGUCCGGGUCGGCGCUCCGACCGUCGCACUUCUCGGCAGCGCGCGCCAGCGUCGGUUGGGACCGGGUCUCAAGGGCGCGAGCAAGGUGGGUCGGCCUCCUCGGGGGCCGGUCGUUAUAGGCUCGCGUCGCAUGGCCCGGACCCGACCGAGGCGUCGCGGCUCGUGCCUCCCUCUCAAGGGGCUGGCUGGGAUCCCCUCGGGCCGGUCGGCGGUCGACUGUGGCGGACUGCGUGCAGUGCGCCGCGACAGCCGUCGGUCGCGUCGGGGGUGAUUUCGCACACACGAGCCAAGGACGCUGGCGGUCAAAUGGCCUCAUUCGACCCGUCUUGAAACACGGACCAAGGAGUCUAACAUGUGCGCGAGUCUUCGAGUGA
rnacentral:rRNA from 1 species